rnacentral:lncRNA from 1 species
CAUAGGCCUUGUUGUCAUUACUGCCAUUGUUAUUAUUGACACGAUUUGUGUUAGAAUCUUGUUCUUGAAAUAAUUGUUUCAUAUUAUUUACUGAUUUAAGAUGAUUGGCCUUAAUAAUAUUAUUAUUUUCUGUUUUCAAAUUAUUAUUUAUUGGUUUUUUAGUUUCUAUAGGCCAAAAAUACAAAGGAUUUUGUAUAUAAAUAGGAUUUAUUAUAUUAUUAAUACUAUCACUCCAGUUUAUUCUCAAAUUAUAAGAUUUUAUUGCUUGCGUAUACGGAGGAUAUCCACAAUUAUAAUGAUUAUUUGACAUACAUCUUAAACACGGGAUGAGACCAUCAGGGUAUUUCAUACUAUUUAAUUGAUUUAAAUCGUUUGUUUGUCCAUAAUCUUUUAUAAGAUUAAACUGUUGAUUGAUAUUAUGACACAAGUAAUUAUCUUUAAACUUACAACAUAUUGCACAAUAUAUAUUUUUACAUUCAUUUAUCAAGAAAUCAUUUUUUGUACAUUCCAAUGAACCACAGUUAGAACAUUUAUAUGGAUGCUCUUUUCCUAACUCCAUUUUAUAAUAUAAAGAAAAAAAUAAAUUUUCAGAAUUCAUGUUUGGAAACAGUGUUAACCAUUGUUUUAUAUUUCUUGUAAAGUUAUCCGUUAUUUUGACUGAUUUCAAAUUAUGCAGAUACAAAUUAUCUUUGUACGAACUUAUACUACAACUGUUAUUAACACUAUUUUUUUUUUUAAUUAAAUUGUUUGUUUUGUUUGCUUCAACUAUUGUAGCUUCAUUAUUAUUCGUUUCGUCAGGGUCUUUAAUUUUUUCUGAGUUUAUUUUGUUGCUAUUAUUUAUAUCCGUAUUUAUGUUAUUAUUUAUGUCCUCAUUUAUGUCCUUAUUUAUGUCCUCAUUUAUGUCCUUAUUUAUAUCCUCAUUUAUGUCCUUAUUUAUAUCCUCAUUUAUGUUAUUAUUUAUGUCCAUACUUAUGUUAUUAUUUAUAUCCAUACUUAUAUUAUUAUUUAUAUCCAUAUUUAUGUCCUUAUUUAUAUUUUCAUUUAUAUCCUCAUUUAUAUUCUCAUUUAUGUUAUUAUUAUGA